GGAAUUGUGGCUUAGUGGUAAAGCACUUGCUUGAUAUGUAUGAGGCACUGGGUUUGAUUCUCAGCACCA
rfam:Ictidomys tridecemlineatus contig081966, whole genome shotgun sequence.